rnacentral:rRNA from 1 species
UACGUAGGUGGCAAGCGUUGUCCGGAUUUAUUGGGGCGUAAAAGGGAGCGCAGGCGGUGACUUAAGUCUGAUGUGAAAGCCCACGGCUCAACCGUGGAAGGUCAUUGGAAACUGGGUCACUUGAAUAUAGAAGAGGAAAGUGGAAUUCCAUGUGUAGCGGUGAAAUGCGUAGAUAUAUGGAGGAACACCAGUGGCGAAGGCGACUUUCUGGUCUAUUAUUGACGCUGAGGCUCGAAAGCAUGGGUAGCAAACAGGAUUAGAUACCCGU